UACCGUAAAAGAUUAGCGGCGGAGGGUGAGUACACGUGGGUAACCUGCCUGUAAGACUGGGAUAACUCCGGGAAACCGGAGCUAAUACCGGAUAGUUCCUUGAACCGCAUGGUUCAAGGAUGAAAGACGGUUUCGGCUGUCACUUACAGAUGGACCCGCGGCGCAUUAGCUAGUUGGUGGGGUAAUGGCUCACCAAGGCGACGAUGCGUAGCCGACCUGAGAGGGUGAUCGGCCACACUGGGACUGAGACACGGCCCAGACUCCUACGGGAGGCAGCAGUAGGGAAUCUUCCGCAAUGGACGAAAGUCUGACGGAGCAACGCCGCGUGAGUGAUGAAGGUUUUCGGAUCGUAAAGCUCUGUUGUUAGGGAAGAACAAGUGCGAGAGUAACUGCUCGCACCUUGACGGUACCUAACCAGAAAGCCACGGCUAACUACGUGCCAGCAGCCGCGGUAAUACGUAGGUGGCAAGCGUUGUCCGGAAUUAUUGGGCGUAAAGGGCUCGCAGGCGGUUUCUUAAGUCUGAUGUGAAAGCCCCCGGCUCAACCGGGGAGGGUCAUUG
rnacentral:rRNA from 1 species